GCAGGGGCUCGUAAGACCUUGCGCUUUUGGAGCGGCCGAUGCCUGAUUAGCUUGUUGGUGGGGUAAUGGCUUACCAAGGCGACGAUCAGUAGUUGGUCUGAGAGGACGACCAGCCACACUGGGACUGAGACACGGCCCAGACUCCUACGGGAGGCAGCAGUGGGGAAUUUUGGACAAUGGGCGAAAGCCUGAUCCAGCAAUGCCGCGUGAGUGAAGAAGGCCUUCGGGUUGUAAAGCUCUUUCAGUCGAGAAGAAAAGAUUGUGACUAAUAAUCACAAUUCAUGACGGUAUCGACAGAAGAAGCACCGGCUAACUACGUGCCAGCAGCCGCGGUAAUACGUAGGGUGCAAGCGUUAAUCGGAAUUACUGGGCGUAAAGGGUGCGCAGGCGGCUUUGUAAGUCAGAUGUGAAAUCCCCGGGCUUAACCUGGGAAUUGCGUUUGAAACUACAGAGCUAGAGUGUAGCAGAGGGGAGUGGAAUUCCAUGUGUAGCAGUGAAAUGCGUAGAGAUAUGGAAGAACAUCGAUGGCGAAGGCAGCUCCCUGGGUUAACACUGACGCUCAUGCACGAAAGCGUGGGGAGCAAACAGGAUUAGAUACCCUAGUAGUCCACGCCCUAAACGAUGUCAACUAGUUGUUGGGCCUUAUUAGGUUUGGUAACGUAGCUAACGCGUGAAGUUGACCGCCUGGGGAGUACGGUCGCAAGAUUAAAACUCAAAGGAAUUGACGGGGACCCGCACAAGCGGUGGAUUAUGUGGAUUAAUUCGAUGCAACGCGAAAAACCUUACCUACCCUUGACAUGUAGCGAAUACUCUAGAGAUAGAGUAGUGCCUUCGGGAAUGCUAACACAGGUGCUGCAUGGCUGUCGUCAGCUCGUGUCGUGAGAUGUUGGGUUAAGUCCCGCAACGAGCGCAACCCUUGUCAUUAAUUGCCAUCAUUUAGUUGGGCACUUUAAUGAGACUGCCGG
rnacentral:rRNA from 1 species